rnacentral:rRNA from 1 species
UGGCGAACGGGUGAGUAACACGUGGGUGAUCUGCCCUGCACUCUGGGAUAAGCCUGGGAAACUGGGUCUAAUACCGGAUAGGACCAUGCUUUAGUGUGUGUGGUGGGAAGUUUUUUCGGUGUAGGAUGAGCCCGCGGCCUAUCAGCUUGUUGGUGGGGUAAUGGCCUACCAAGGCGGCGACGGGUAGCCGGACUGAGAGGUUGGUCGGCCACAUUGGGACUGAGAUACGGCCCAG